GUGAGUGUUUCUUUGGCAGUGUCUUAGCUGGUUGUUGUGAGCAAUAGUUGAGGAAGCAAUCAGCAAGUAUACUGCCCUAGAAGUGCUGCAC
rnacentral:pre_miRNA from 1 species